CUCUAAAUUUUUAUUAAAUAUCUCUUUUGUCUACAGUUUGAUCUCGUGGAAAGGAAAGGCUGAAGAUGAAAAGUCAGUUACAUUUGUCGAAGACAGCACUCAGUCCUUGUUACAGAGAAAAGCAAAAGAUCUGUGGCACAUUAUCUUUGGAAAGAUCGUUUGCAGAUUUCCUUUAAAAGACCUCACAGGUCAUGUCUGCCCCUUUCAGAGUGUAUUCCACAAGGCAGAUAAAUCCUGUUGACCGAAGCCCCAAGUUUGCAGUUCCAUUGCUGAAGCCGAUUUUAAAUCUGUGGUGUUCCCCUGGUUUGUGUCACACAUCUUUGCUGGGAGCACGGUUGCCUCCCCAGCCUGCACACACAACCACUGAUCAUAGCCGGCACAUUAUUCCACGGUAAUCAAAGACAAAGGCAGACCAGUGACUUUCAUUAUCACCUUGACAACGUAUUCCUUUUUAAAGCAAUUUUAAUACCAAGGUAUGACUUUCUUCUAACAUUGUAAGAAAGAAAAUAUAUAAUAUAUAAUAUAAUAUAUAAUGGUAAUAAAUAAAAAAAAAAGGCAACCCUGCUCAGGUAUUAUCCAAAACACGAUCACAUUCAGAAAAAAAAUUAAAUCCGGGACACACGUGUACACACACGCACACACUCUGCCAUGAACAGUGUGUACGUGAUACCGUGAGGAUGUGCAGUGUUCUUAGCAAUACAUGUCAUGGCCUGAACAAAAGGCAAACUUAAUACUGCCUGUAUUGAGCAUCGCUAAAACACCUAAGCGAAGCAAGUUCACCUUCCUUAGGUCAGCCACCGCCCGGCCCAACAGCGCAGCUCUGCUUGCCCACCGCUGGCCUCAUUCCUGUGUCCUAUGGACAGAUGUAAGCAAUACACAGGUUUGCAGAGAGCCCUAGGCUUCCUGUCCUCUGGCUCCCUCGUAGGUAGGGAAAGAGGCACUUCUCUGCCCAUCACAGUAACAGCUGAUGUCUGAUGCACAGCGGAACAGAACAGAGUGUGACUCACCCUCAAGGAACCGGGAGAUUUACACCCGCCUGAGGAAAUGUGGUAGGUGGUGCUUGUCAGCACAUCAGAAAGAGCGUGGACACAGGCAGCUGUUCUCAGUCGGGGAAACCAUAACUGGACUGCAUACGGAGGAUGGCCUGGCAGAAAACACCAGAAUCCCAACACCAGGCCCCUCGGUCCUUACACUUCCCUUCCACAGAAAACGCCCUCUCGCCCGGUAUUUCCAAAUGAGCCAAGACCAGGAGAGAGGCGGGGGGGGGGGGGGGGGGGCAUCAAAACGGACCCUCCCGUCCCCAUAGCUGCAAAGCAAUAGCUUGUGUUCUCCAAUGAGAAAAAUCUACACUUCUGUGUUUCAGAAAGGAGCCCCAAAAUGUUCUGAGGAGAUUUAAAUACUUCUAACCCGCGGUGAAAGAGUGUAACAGACAAAGUGGUAAAUUUUCAAAGACAUUUUGUAGUGUUGGGGAAAAUCAUUAAGAAGAGGAGAAUCUGUAGGAGGCACGGAAAGACCUUAAAUCAUAUUUAAGCCCAACUCACCUCAAACUCCACAAAGCAGGAAAGUAAACGUAAGACCUGCGAAGCCACCCACUCAAAGCCACGGCAAAGCAAACGGCAUUGCUGGAGAAAUUAUGUUUUGGUCAGCAAAGGCGCAAAUACACCAGGCCGAAUCUCUUGUCCUCUGCACCAGAGACCACAGCUCAGGAGCACGAAUCCUUUCAGAAGUUACCAAACAGGAAUCGUAGGACCCAGGCGCUGUCCCUAACACCAACACACGGAGGCACAUUUUCAAUCAAGAUGGGGAAGAGUCUGUUCAAAACUUCCUGCAGACGGGCAGGUGGUGGUGGCCCAGGGAAUAGACUGACAUUUGCCAAAACAUCUACAAAAUAAGUGUCACUUUGUAAGGGACCGCUGAUGAGUACUUGCUGGGCCCUCCUGCUGCUCCCUUCCGCCUGCCAUCUCGUCUCAGCACCUUAACCAAAGGCCACCCACUCUAGUGGCAUCUAACAGGGCCUUUACGUGAUCUAAUUAUUUCCAAAAGAGAAAACACUCAGCACCCAGGGGCAAAAAGUGUGUUCCUCUACUCUGUUACCACAGACAGACGGGCCACACGGCCUUUGUAAAUGGCCAUGGCAAGACUCCCUCAUAAAUACUGCCUGCCCACAACGUGGGUGCUCUCCCACAGUUACAAGAGCAUCCCAUAUCCAAAGGGCUGAUUUUAUGGUCCUCCCAAAAUAAUCACCUCAGGGGGGAAAAAAAUCCACCUCUGGGAACUGUGAGCACACGGCGAAGGGUGCAGAUGGUGUGAAGUUUGAGUCCUUGGGGCUCACACUGAGCAGUAACAGUUGCUGAACAGUCCCGGGCUUUCGCUCUGAAGGAGGCAGACAAGCUCACACUCUCUAGGUACAGUGUUGUGGGAAAAGCAGCAAUGCCAACAGCUACAGACCAGACUGGCAGAAACGGAUCCUGUCCAACUUCGUUGGUUUUCAAGGUACAAAGGAAACUGUAGUAUCAAGAGCUGAGGAGAAAACAAACCCAGACGUAGACCAAGACAGCCCGUUCUUCCUGCACUGACUGAAUGUGUCCAGGCAAGGGGCACAGUGGCCUGCUGGCAGGACACACACUGCUCUGGCAAAAUGUCCACAGACCAGAACCUGUCCCUAAGGGACAGAGCCGUUUUAACAACCGACAGGCAGCAAGGGACAGACAGCUGUGGGAGAGGGAAAGGAUCCUGACAAGCCCACAAGCCUAGCUCUGCUGAAGAGGUGACACAGUGCUGGGAAUGACCUGCCAUAUACUUCGACUCUGGUUGACAACAUGGCUCUGCUUCAGGACAUCAGUAAAGAAAACUGCUUAGUUGGAUCACAGUCUUGGUCUCUGCUCAGAUAUGCACACGGUGGCCAUUUUCUGACUCUAUUCAUACCAGGAUAAAAGGCUGAGAUGCUCUGUCCUGAAAAGCCAGGUAUUGCACCCACCUAGAGACCCUGUGUGGAUUUACCAAGGUACCAAGAAGGUCCUAAUGUUACCACAGGGACCAUAGACAUCGUCACCGAGGAAAGAUAGGUCUCCACUGAUUUCCAAAUGCACUCACACAAGCGUGGCCGACAGGAGGCAGAGGCAGAGGCCGGGCCACACACAGGUACCUCCACGGAAACGCAUGUGCAAAUCCUACUAUCUAGAAGAGAUAAAAAAAGAAUGGGCUUUUGAAAGAACACUGCCCUCAGAGAGUAUUCCAGUAAUAACCUUGAAGCCUCAAGGAAAGGCCUGUGUUUGCGGGCGGGUGUGAAUUCUGAGUGUGUCCCUCACCUCCCACCCAGGUGAACCUGGUCUAAUGUGGGCGGGGCGUAGCCCGGGGAAGGACACAGAUCCUCUCCAACCUCAUCAAGUCAGAGUACCUGAGAAGAUGGCCUGGAGUGAAGGUGUAUGACUGGGGAGUUUUAAAGUUGAAUCUAACCCCCACCCCCCAAGUCCCCCAAUCUCCACAUCCUCUCAAGGAGCUAACGUCCCCUGGAUAGUCAAGGGUCUUGGAAAGUUGAGUUUUGCUAUAAAUAUAAAAUACUUGGUAGGAGAAAAAUACAACCUCUCUAGGAAGACUUUAUACUUCUGCUCACUGAGACAUGGAGUAGCCACAGCCCUGUCAGUACCCAGCAGACAGUGCAUAUCUGCCUCCGGCCCAAGGCCAACAUGGCUCCCGUGUUUGCCCAAGGUUUUUCGUGGAGUGCGGCAGGAGGAAGAGUGAGGCCUCUGGGGAUGUGAGGAAGACUGUGAGAAAGAACCCGGAUGUAACUGCUUCCACUCCUCUAGGGCCGACGGGGGAUGCUUCUCAGUAUAGCCAGAGAGGCCUGAGCUAGACAAUGUGCAGCACUCUAGGCACUGGGGUACGGUGGGUGUCACCUUAGAUUUUGUAAAUGACAGUACUCGGUCAUCAGAGCCCCUUCCCUGCAGGAAGUGAGGUGCGGUGGAGUCCUCCGCAACUUGUGUUCCACAGAUGGCCAUUAGAAUGUAUUAAGCAACGUUUCCUUUAAAACUUGAGAAGAGAACAAAAUCAUAAAGCCCUUCACCAAAAAUUAUUAUUAAAAAAAAAAAAAA
ensembl:lncRNA